rnacentral:lncRNA from 1 species
AGAAAAGAAGAACAAACUUGUGGGUGAAGGGGAAGGUCUUCCAUGUCAAAGUAUGGCAGACGUCCUCGCUUGCCGAAUCUGCAAUCAGGAACCCAACGGAAAUGGAUGAUUGGAAUUAACAAUCGACGCGAUUACAUCAUGCGUGAAAAGUUGAAAUAGCUGAAGUAUAUAAUAGUGCGUGCAAAAUAGGAAAGAAACCUUUGCGGGAGAAUCGCUAGCUGUGAGUUAUAUGUGACUGGUGUGAAGAAUUGAGCGGGAAAAAUCAAAGUCUUUGGAUUUGAAUUUGAGUUGAUACCUGGGACGAACGAGUGAGUUGUCGUAGCGCCGGUCGAGUUGCUUCAGCUGCAGUAACUGGACAAUCUUACCGCCCCUGAUACUGAACAUACGCUAACACAGUUUCAAUGUUAAAACAAUGGACGGCUCUGCUGAGGUUCAUUUGAGAGCAAAAAGGAAGAGUCUCAAAAAACACAAUGAAGAGGAUCAAACUAAUCACUUUGAAUUAGGAUAUACAUGCAAUCGAUGACGGUACACGUCACCUGUCGAUGAAUGUUUCAAUAGAAAAGGUCAAAACGACCACACACUAAGAAAUUUGAAUUUUGUAUUAUACCUGGGCCGGGCGGCUUGACCGUAGACUUUGUCCAAUCCUUGAAGAUAUUUGAUGGCAUCAGCCAUGGCCGUCAUUUCUCCGCCUUCACCUCCGCUCAUGACGUCUCCGCCAUCGGCUUUGGUGGUAGUGACGCAAACGGCCAACACGACCAUCACCACCAGGAAGACCAAAGCGGCCAACGAACAGGAGCGGGGAAGGAAUUGCUGGAUGCUGCUGCUGGACAUUUUGUGGUUGGGUGAGUGUAGUGGAAGAAGAAGAUGAUGAAGGAGGUAGAAGAGGCAAGUGUCGACUGUGUCCUGACUGGGCCAUUUGGCACCUUUUUAUACCCGUUUCCCAUCCCUCUGGUCCAGCGGCGUGUGCCCACCGGUUGACGCAGUCGCGGAUAAAGGAUUGGAAAAGUCUGUCAGCCGCAGGAUUCCCGCUCAGUUGCAACUGUUUUUGUUUUCCCAACUGCUACGCAAAUGAAGAAUUGCGAACAUGACAACUCAAUGUUCUAGACAUUGGACACAGCACUUGGAUUUCGGUGAACGUGAAGACCACACAAAUCCUUUUGGGUUGGUGGCGGCGGCUUUGCCGGGAUGGAUUUGACACUCUCCAACACAACAAACCACUUCUCCCACAUACACCAAGAUGUAACUUUUGUGUCCGUUUCGUCGCGUUAAACUGAAAGGGGAAAAAUAAAGUCCCGGAGAAUUUUAAAAAGAAACCAGUCGAUAGUGCCAAGGUUGGCCGUUUUUUCUAACUUUCUUUCCCGGCCGAUAUUAUUAUAUAUCCAGUGUGUGUGUGUGUGCGUAAUAUUACGAAAGAGUCGGGGUGGGGCAAGCGUUUGACGGGCAAAGGAAGUCAUAGUAGAGAGAUAAAUGGUUCAAUCAGUACAACACGAACCUACAAACGCGUUUAUGAAGUCGAAGCUGAGCCGCUGCCCAUAAAUUGGGAGCCUUAGAAAAAGGGAUCCCGAAAAAUCCCGCGGGGAAACAAACACAUCUCGGAUGUCAGCCAACGUCAAUACGUUUUUUCCGUAGCCUUUUUUCUUUUUAAAAGUAAUAGACGCGCCUGAAACAACC